GCGUGGAUUGAUCUGUCUGGUUAAUUCCGAUAACGCACGAGACCUCGGCCCAUAGUCUAGAGUCUUGGUUUCCUCCGAAACUGAGAGCAGCGUAGGCUGCGUCCUGCCUCCGGCAGCGGCGUGAUCGACGUUGCGAAAUCAAAACCUAUGGGAAUUGCGCGCGUCGAAACUCUUAGCGCGAUGAAAGGCGAGGCUAUAACA
rnacentral:rRNA from 1 species